CAUGCAUAAGAAAAGAAAUAAAAGGGUUGCACGCUCUAUCCUUUUUGAUGCCUCUCUUCUUUCUUCCAUGCUAUGUCCAAGGAGUUGGACAUCCCCUCGCCUCCAUGCCCAUCUCCUCUCCCAUAUUCCUCCUCCUUCUCUGGAUUAUUCUCUUUAAAAGAGAAAAGAGAAUACAUUCAACAUCCGAGGAGCAAUAUCUGCAAGGGAGCUAGCACCUCAGUGAGAUCAGGAUCUUCUGAUCAAAUCAUCCGCAUGUGG
rnacentral:lncRNA from 1 species